AGUACGUGUCCUAGCCAAGACUACAAGGGAUCUACAGAACACCACAGAAGAAGAUCCAAAUUGCAUAGUUCCAGCUAUCAGUUCCUGAUUGAUUCCUAUGUCCUCACCUUGCUAUCCUGAUGUAUUCCAUCUGUGAUGUCCUCUGUCGUGGGUCCAUUCCUCUGAACUAGAUCUACUUGAUGCUUCAUGCAGGGGAAGCUUAAGUCAUAAGGCUGAGAUCUCCAGUCCUAACUGGAUUACCCUGAAUAUGGACAUUGAACCUAUGGACUAAAUCUGAAAGAACCCUUUACAACUACAAAGCCCACCAUCUCCACUAUGAAUCUGAUCUCAGAACUGUCCUCAUGUCUGUUUGUCCCAGCACUCAGAUGCCUGCACAUUUAUGUAACAGUGGUGAGCCAGAGGAGCACCCUGAGUACUGGCAGGGCUGUGAACAAAUCAAGCAUCCCACUUUGCCUCAGAGAGGUUGUAUUCAGCACUGCCACAUCAUGUAGCUGCGUGAACCAGACCAGGGUUUUCUCCAGGCCAGAUGCAUAGCCAAGGAUGUGCUUUAUCCUAUUAAGGCUCAUCAACACAUGGUACAGCAACCUGGUCUGAUACUCCUGACCUAUGCAGUGAGAGGAAACAUGCCCAUGAAUGCACACCUAAUGUGGGUGAACCCCAUCCUGCUAGUCCUUGGAAUUUCAAACUGUUGUAAGCCUAGAUUGCUCAUAUGCAUGCUCAUAAUCAACAUACUCUCCUAGAUUACAUCAUUUCUUAGCAGUGUUUUACUCACAGUAGCAACUUCUAAGUGUUAGACACUUUCAAGGAUGGUCUUUGCACUGAGGAACUCACAGUCUUAAGGACAGACAGGUUAGGGGAAGGGAACACUAACAGUCAGAUUAUAAACUAGUUAACUCGAUAAGCAUUGGGACAAGAGGAUCUUUAACAGGCACUUAAGCGUGGACAGUGGAGGAGCCAUUCUGGUAGAGUUCUUGGUAGAGUUUCACACUCACUGCAUCCAAGUUGCAAGGUUGCGCAGAGUCAAGUUUGAAUGCACUAGUUAUGUGUUUUCUGUGCUUGUACAGGUAAGUACUGCAGAAAGAUUUCCCUUUCUUAGCCUCCUAAUUUAAAAACAUGCUCAACGCUAAGCUAGACAGUAUUAGUCUAUCCAUAUGUGUCCCUAACCUAUCCAGCUGUCUCUGAAUUUGAGCCCUUUAUUAUCUAUUUAGUUGAGUGAGUGUCAUCAGUAAGAGUGGCCAUAAGGUCAAUUGGUCAUUCCUGUCAGACACUUAGAUGAGUGAGCAGUACUGACCAUCUGCCCAUGGUGACAUUCUGGGGUCAAGGGAAAGGAGAUGGUUCAAUUCUGUUUCUUCUGUACAGGGCUCAAACAAGCAAAAUUGUAAGAACUGACACUAAACAUGAGGACGAUGUUCAAAAUCUCCUCCAAAUGCCAGAUGGAGUCAUUGCCCCUGGGGUAGCCUUCUGUUCUCCACAACAGAGUAAAGUGACAGGUUUCAGAGUAGUGAAGCUCAUUCCACCAGCCCUUUCAAAUUUCUCAUGACCCUUUGCAUAGCUCCUUGAUUCGGAGCUGAUUCUAAGC